UGGCUUCUUGAUUUUUCUUUGCAUUGCCACGAGUCUCAAUGUGGCUCGAGACUCCUAUUUGACCCGAAGGUGGAGGUGGAUUUUGCGGCCAGAGCAGCCUGAAAGAAAGUGAAAAUAACGACGCUGAACGUGACAUCGGAGCAGCGAGGGAAUCCUGCGUAGCUGACAUUCCGAGCAGCCUGAGAGGAGGAGGAGGCCUAGGAUAGGCAUCGGGCAUCAACGUACCAACACUUCUG